rnacentral:rRNA from 1 species
GCUCAGAAACUCAAAUGAAUUGACGGGGCCGGCACAAGCGAGGAGCAUGUGGUUAAUUCGAUGAUACGCGAGGAACCUUACCUGGGCUCGAACGUAAGAUGACUGUAGGUGAAAGCUUACAUCUCUUCGGAGCAUUUUACGAGGUGCUGCAUGGUUGUCGUCAGCUCGUGCCGUGAGGUGUCGGGUUAAGUCCCAUAACGAGCGCAACCCCUACCUUUAGUUGCCAUCAGGUUAAGCUGGGGACUCUAAAGGAACUGCCUACGCAAGUAGUGAGGAAGGCGGGGAUGACGUCAAAUCAGCACGGCCCUUACGUCCAGGGCUACACACGUGCUACAAUGGCCGAUACAGAGGGCAGCUACCUGGUGACAGGAUGCAAAUCUCCAAAGUCGGUCUCAGUUCGGAUCGGAGUCUGCAACCCGACUCCGUGAAGUUGGAUUCGCUAGUAAUCGCGCAUCAGCCAUGGCGCGGUGAAUACGUUCCCGGGCCUU